GAUGAACGCUGACAGAAUGCUUAACACAUGCAAGUCGAUUCGAUUUACCUUCGGGUAUUGAGGAUGGCGGACGGGUGAGUAACGCGUAAGGAACUUGCCUCUUGGUCUGGGACAACUGUUGGAAACGACGGCUAAUACCGGAUAUUAUGAGAUUCUCGCAUGGGAAACUUAUGAAAGCUAUAUGCGCCAAGAGAGAGCCUUGCGUUCCAUUAGCUAGUUGGUGGGGUAACGGCCCACCAAGGCGACGAUGGAUAGCCGGCCUGAGAGGGUGAACGGCCACAAGGGGACUGAGACACGGCCCUUACUCCUACGGGAGGCAGCAGUGGGGAAUAUUGNNNNNNGGGNNNNNNGCCUGAUCCAGCAAUUCUGUGUGCACGAUGAAGGUCUUCGGAUUGUAAAGUGCUCUCAGUUGGGAAGAAGAAAGUGACGGUACCAACAGAAGAAGCGACGGCUAAAUACGUGCCAGCAGCCGCGGUAAUACGUAUGUCGCAAGCGUUAUCCGGAUUUAUUGGGCGUAAAGCGCGUCUAGGCGGAAAAAUAAGUCUGAUGUUAAAAUGCGGGGCUCAACUCCGUAUUGCGUUGGAAACUGUUUUUCUAGAGUACUGGAGA
rnacentral:rRNA from 1 species